UCUCAGUUUGCACUGGCAGUCUCGUUAGAGUUCCCGACAUGACUCGCUGGCAACUAACGACAGGGGUUGCGCUCGUUAUAGGACUUAACCUGACACCUCACGGCACGAGCUGACGACAACCAUGCAGCACCUUGUAAAUUGUCUUGCGAAAAGUCUGUUUCCAAACCGGUCAAUCUACAUUUAAGCCUUGGUAAGGUGGGGAUGACGUUUCUAGGAGGGUG
rnacentral:misc_RNA from 1 species